rnacentral:rRNA from 1 species
GACGAACGCUGGCGGCGUGCUUAACACAUGCCAGUCGAACGGAAAGGCCCUGCUUUUGUGGGGUGCUCGAGUGGCGAACGGGUGAGUAACACGUGAGUAACCUGCCCUUGACUUUGGGAUAACUUCAGGAAACUGGGGCUACUACCGGAUAGGCGCUCCUGCUGCAUGGUGGGGGUUGGAAAGUUUCGGCGGUUGGGGAUGGACUCGCGGCUUAUCAGCUUGUUGGUGGGGUAGUGGCUUACCAAGGCUUUGACGGGUAGCCGGCCUGAGAGGGUGACCGGCCACAUUGGGACUGAGAUACGGCCCAGACUCCUACGGGAGGCAGCAGUGGGGAAUAUUGCACAAUGGGCGGAAUCCUGAUGCAGCAACGCCGCGUGCGGGAUGACGGCCUUCGGGUUGUAAACCGCUUUCGCCUGUGACGAAGCGUGAGUGACGGUAAUGGGUAAAGAAGCACCGGCUAACUACGUG